rnacentral:rRNA from 1 species
CGGAGGGCUAAUCUGCAAGUCGAGCGAGCUUGCCUAGAUGAUUUUAGUGCUUGCACUAAAUGAAACUAGAUACAACCCUGAAGCGGACGGGUGAGUAACACGUGGGUAACCUGCCCCCCUGACAGGGAUAACACCUGGAAACAGAUGCUAAUACCGGAUAACAACACUAGACGCAUGUCUAGAGUUUGAAAGACGGUUCUGCUAUCACUCUUGGAUGGACCUGCGGUGCAUUAGCUAGUUGGUAAGGUAACGGCUUACCAAGGCAAUGAUGCAUAGCCGAGUUGAGAGACUGAUCGGCCACAUUGGGACUGAGACACGGCCCAAACUCCUACGGGAGGCAGCAGUAGGGAAUCUUCCACAAUGGACGAAAGUCUGAUGGAGCAACGCCGCGUGAGUGAAGAAGGGUUUCGGCUCGUAAAGCUCUGUUGGUAGUGAAGAAAGAUAGAGGUAGCAACUGGCCUUUAUUUGACGGUAAUUACUUAGAAAGUCACGGCUAACUACGUGCCAGCAGCCGCGGUAAUACGUAGGUGGCAAGCGUUGUCCGGAUUUAUUGGGCGUAAAGCGAGUGCAGGCGGUUCAAUAAGUCUGAUGUGAAAGCCUUCGGCUCAACCGGAGAAUUGCAUCAGAAACUGUUGAACUUGAGUGCAGAAGAGGAGAGUGGAACUCCAUGUGUAGCGGUGGAAUGCGUAGAUAUAUGGAAGAACACCAGUGGCGAAGGCGGCUCUCUGGUCUGCAACUGACGCUGAGGCU